CAGACCUCUAAUCGGAAAAGACUACCCGCUGAGUUUAAGCAUAUCACUAAGCGGAGGAGAAGAAACUAACCAGGAUUUCCCUA
rnacentral:rRNA from 3 species